UACGGGGGGGGCAAGCGUUGUUCGGAAUUACUGGGCGUAAAGGGUGCGUAGGCGGUCCGCUAAGUUAGAUGUGAAAACUCUGGGCUCAACCCAGAGCCUGCAUCUAAUACUGACGGGCUAGAGUUCUGGAGGGGGUAGCGGAAUUCCUGGUGUAGCGGUGAAAUGCGUAGAUAUCAGGAGGAACACCGGUGGCGAAGGCGGCAUCCUGGACCGACAUUGACGCUGAGGCGCGAAAGCCAGGGGAGCAAACGGG
rnacentral:rRNA from 1 species